GGCAAACUUACCAGGACAAGACAUAAGAAGGAUUGACAGACUGAUCGCUCUUUCUUGAUUUUAUGGGUGGUGGUGCAUGGCCGUUCUUAGUUCGUGGAGUAAUUUGUCUGGUUAAUUCCGUUAACGAACGAGGCCUUAACUUACUAAUUGGAAUGUAUAUUUAAUAUACUAUUCCUCUUAGAAGGACCAUGUGUACAUAACACAAGGAAGCGUGAGGCAAUAA
rnacentral:rRNA from 1 species